AGCGUCAGUUUCGUCUACUGCUUUGAGACGUUGGGACGUGUUCCGUGAUUAGAGACAGUUGUCCACAGUGUAUUAAAUAAUAAGUCUUCGUAAUCCAGUGCAAUAUGUUUGGUCAAAAAAAUAUGCUGUUGAUUCUGCUUGGCUGCAAUUUGCUAUUAGCCAUCAACGCGUCUAGCAACACAAAUAAGAAGCAGCAACAACAAAACCAAGAAAUCUGGGAGCAAGACCUAACGGAUACUUUUAAAAUUGAGGGCAGCGAUCAGGGCAUACAAAAGGUUAAUCUGAAAUGUGGUGCCAAUUCAAUGAAUGUGAUGUUAGAGACUGAAAAACCAUUUACGGGCGUCAUGUAUACACGUGGUAGCUUCUAUAAGCAAACGGCUCCGUGCUUCAUGAAACCCGCAGCUAGUCAGGGAACACGUCAAUUGGAAAUGAGCUUCCAAUUGGAUCAAUGCCAGACACUGAAGGAUGGUGAGCUGUAUUCGAACAUUGUGGUCAUACAGAACGAUCCAGAACUCAUAACGCCUGGGGACUCGGCUUUCUCGUUGGAAUGCGAUUUCCGUCAGCCGCGCAGCUUGGACGUCGAAGCUACCAUGCAAACUAGAGACAGAGUUGCGACAAAAUCCAAAAUUACACUGACAAGUCCCGAUCCCGCGGCCCCAACGGAAAAUCUACAAAACUCGGUGGUCAGCAACAGUGAUACAGUAGAGUAUAUACCAAAGUUCUCUAAACCAAACAAAACCAUAAACCUGGGCACGGUAGAGGAAGUGAUUUUGCCACUGGCUCAGCAAAGAGAUGAGCUUUAAAUAAAGUCAGUAAGCAUUUCUUCCUCAAACAACACAAGCAAUUAUUACACAUACAAAUACCAACUACAGGAAUAAUACACAGAACUCUACAUCGGCUGCCUAAAACGGAUUUCAUAAAUAAUUUCAACAAUCUGUUUUAUAUCUUUAUCCUGUGAUAUUUUUUAAG